rnacentral:rRNA from 1 species
AUUGAACGCUGGCGGCAGGCCUAACACAUGCAAGUCGAGCGGGCGGCGGGCGGGUGAGUAAUUUAUGGGUGUCUACUCGCUCAGGGGGGGUAAAUACUGGAAACGAUAGCUAAUUCCUCCUACUAUCGAUUGGACACGUAUGGGAUUAGCUAGUAGGUGAGGGAAUGGCUCACCUAGGCGACGAUCCCUCGCUGGUCUGAGAGGAUGAUCAGCCACACUGGAACUGAGACACGGCCCAGACUCCUACGGGAGGCAGCAGUGGGGAAUAUUGCACAAUGGGCGCAAGCCUGAUGCAGCCAUGCCGCGUGUAUGAAGAAGGCCUUAGGGUUGUAAAGUACUUUCAGCCGGGAGGCGUUACCGACAGAAGAAGCACCGGCUAACUCCGUGCCAGCAGCCGCGGUAAUAC